AAUUGUGGGCAGGCCCGCCCCUUCACAUUAGGAAUUCACUCCGUUUGCCCCACCCACAGGUGCUGGCUGUCAACGCAGCCGAAGGGGCCGUCCUGGUAGCUGCCGGUCCCGCAAUUGUCCGCUGGCGCCUCGGGUGCUGGCCCUGCAGCUGGUGGAGUCCUCACGGAACGCUCGGUCCCACUUGCCUUUCCAGGGGGAUGGCUGCGCUCUCAAUCUCGCAGGCCGGGUUCCCAAGAUUGCUCGGGAGUCCAGAGGAGUGGCGACGCCACCCAACCUGCGGGCGCGGAUGUCCACAGCUGAUCGACAGCGGAAUAACCCUCUGGGAGGAAGAGAAUAGAGUUAUCGGAAGGAAACCGGAUCUCAACAUUCCCCUCGUCCCAUUGAGGAGUUUGAAGACCAUCCGAUGCUCAAGCUCCUGGGGUCCUGGAGUCUAAAGACCGGAGAAGAGGCCGCGCUAAGGUGGAAGGAACAAAACAUUUCCACAAGUCGUCCUCUGACCUUCUUAUGAACAGCCUUGUGCGUAAACACUCAAAUAAAUGUAAAAAGAAAUGCGAGGAGGGCUGGAGCGAUGACUCAGCAGUUAAGAGCACAGAGGACCGGGGUUUGAGUCCCAGCACCCGCACGGUGGCUCGCAAACAUCAGAAACUUGAGUUCCAGGGGGACCCUCCACAAGCACCUGGCUUGCACCUGGCACAGACAUACUGGCAGGUAAAAUACUCAGAUACAUACAAAUAAAUUAUUACUUUUUCUGAGACAGGGUUUCUUUGUGUAGUCCUGGCUGUCCUGGAACUAGCUCUGUAGACCAGACUGGCUUUGAAGUCAAAGAGAUCCCCCUGCUUCUGCCUUGGGAGUGCUGGGAUUAAAGGUGUGCGCUACCACCAAGUCAAAUAAAAUUUUAAAAAGUUUUAGAAACCUCGUUGACGCCAGUCCUUGGAUUUCGUCGCAAUUUUUAAAAUGUGUGGUUUGCAGACUCUAGUUUGCUGGACCUAGCUUAAAUAUUGGGAGGUGAGAAUAAUAUCAGACUGGUUCAAGUGAGUGAUUGUUGAAUAUUCAGCCCUCCAAGGG